UACGUAGGGUGCGAGCGUUAAUCGGAAUUACUGGGCGUAAAGCGUGCGUAGACGGUUAAGUAAGUCGGAUGUGAAAGCCCCGGGCUCAACCCGGGAAUUGCAUUCGAGACUGCGUAGCUAGAGUGCGAAAGAGGGUCGCGGAAUUCCCGGUGUAGAGGUGAAAUUCGUAGAUAUCGGGAGGAACACCGGUGGCGAAGGCGGCGACCUGGGUCGACACUGACGCUGAGGCGCGAAAGCGUGGGGAGCAAACAGG
rnacentral:rRNA from 1 species